rnacentral:rRNA from 1 species
GACGAACGCUGGCGGUGUGCUUAACACAUGCCAGUCGAACGGUAAGGCCCUUUCGGGGGUACACGAGUGGCGAACGGGUGAGUAACACGUGAGUAACCUGCCCUCAUCUCUGGGAUAACAGUCGGAAACGGUUGCUAAUACUGGAUAUGAGCUUGCAAGGCAUCUUGUGGGUUGGAAAGAUUUUUUUUGGUUGGGGAUGGACUCGCGGCCUAUCAGCUUGUUGGUGAGGUAGUGGCUCACCAAGGCUUCGACGGGUAGCCGGCCUGAGAGGGCGACCGGCCACAUUGGGACUGAGAUACGGCCCAAACUCCUACGGGAGGCAGCAGUGGGGAAUAUUGCACAAUGGACGGAAGUCUGAUGCAGCAACGCCGCGUGCGGGAUGACGGCCUUCGGGUUGUAAACCGCUUUCAAUUGUGACGAAGCUUUUUUGUGACGGUAGCAGUAGAAGAAGCACCGGCUAACUACGU